rnacentral:rRNA from 1 species
UGGGGAAUCUUAGACAAUGGGGGAAACCCUGAUCUAGCCAUGCCGCGUGAGUGACGAAGGCCCUAGGGUCGUAAAGCUCUUUCGCCAGGGAAGAUAAUGACGGUACCUGGUAAAGAAACCCCGGCUAACUCCGUGCCAGCAGCCGCGGUAAUACGGAGGGGGUUAGCGUUGUUCGGAAUUACUGGGCGUAAAGCGCGCGUAGGCGGGCUGUUAAGUCAGGGGUGAAAUCCCGGGGCUCAACCCCGGAACUGCCCUUGAUACUGGCAGCCUUGAGUUCGAGAGAGGUGAGUGGAAUUCCGAGUGUAGAGGUGAAAUUCGUAGAUAUUCGGAGGAACACCAGUGGCGAAGGCGGCUCACUGGCUCGAUACUGACGCUGAGGUGCGAAAGCGUGGGGAGCAAACAGGAUUAGAUACCCCCGUAGUCC